CUUAGAUAAAUAGCUACUCUGUGUGCUCUCCCACAUGUUGCACUGCAGUUCUAACUAUAAACCUCAUACCAGUUUUUAUAGUCUUUGCCUCUGAAACAUUCUUGCUUUCAACAGAGGGCAAGAAUCAGGGCAGUUUUUCUUUCAGCUUCUAGUUAGUCUCCUGGCUCACAUUCUUGGUUUUCACUCAGGCUGCCCAGGUUCAAUUCCUGAGCAGAGAAUUAACAUCUCACUUCAAGCCAUCACCCUCUGAGAUCAACCGUAUCUCUAUCAGGAGCCUCUCUACAACACCUCAUCAUUGCCACCCUCCCUUCCCCAGGAUUAAGAUGGCAGAACAGAAGGACUGGAGCUCACCUUCUCACAUAAAAACAACAGAAUUACAACCAAACGCUGAACAACCUUCAACCAAAUGGACUGGAAACUUACAAAAAGAUAUCCUACGCUGGAAGACACAGAAGAGGCCACAUCAAGAUGACAGGAGGGGCAGUUACACGAUAGAAGCAAACCCAUACCAGCCAGGUGGGAAGCCCACAAACUGGAGAGUAACUGUGUCACAGAGACUCACCUACAUGAGUGAGAGUUCUGAGGCCCAUGUCAGGCUUCCACGCCUGGGGUUCUGACACUGGGAGAAAGAGGCCGCUGAGCAUCUGGCACUGAAGACCAGUGGGGCUUGUGCACAGGAGCUCCAUGGGACUGGGGGAAACGGAGACCCCGUUCUGAAAGGUGCACACGGGCCUUCAUGUGCACUGGGUCCCAGGGCAGGGCGGAGUCUCUGAGGGAGUCUGGGUCGGACCUGACUGCAGUUCUUGGAGGACCUCCUUGGAAAACAAGGGGUGACUGUGGCUUGUUGUGGGGGAAGGACAUUGGAAGCAAGGGUCUAAGGAGUAUUCCUCAGCUUGUGUUCCUCUAGAGGUGGCCAUUUUGGGAGAAUCUGGGCCCACCCAUCAGUGCUGAGAAGCCCCAGGCCAAACAAUAAUAAUCCAGGUGGGAUCACAGCCCCACCCAUCAGUAAACAGGCUGCCUACAGACCCCCCAGGCACACAGCUGCCUCUGAUUUCACCCAGAGACAAAGCCCCACCCACCAGAGGGAUGGGAAUCAGCUCUACCUACCAGUGGGCAGGCACCAGUCCCUCCCAUCAGGAAGCCUAGAGCAAGCCCCUGUACCAACUUCAGCCACAAGGGUGGCAGACACCAGAAGAGAGGCUGCAACUCUAUUGCCUGCAAAAAGGACACCACACCAAAAACCCAUAAAAAUGAAAAGGUAGAGAACUAUAACUCAGAUAAGGGAACAAGAAAAAAAAACAGAAAAACAGCCAAGUGAUCUGGAGAUUAUCAGCCUCCAGGAAAAAGACUUUAGACUGAUCAUGCUGAAGAUGAUGGAAGACACUGGAAAUAAACUGGAGGCAAAGAUUGAUAAUUUACAGAAAACACUGAGUAAAGAAAUACAAGAUUUAAGACUUAAGCAGAGAUGCAAAAUACAAUAACUGAAAUAAAAAAUUAAUUAGAAUCAGCCAACAGCAGAAUACAGGAGGCAGAACGAAUAAGUGAGGUAGAGGACAGACUAGUGGAAAUCACUGAUGUGGAACAGAAAAGAGAAAAAAGAUUGAAAAGAAAUGAAGACAGUCUCAAAGAACUCUGGGAUAAGGUUAAACACACCAACAUCCAUAUUAUAGGGGUGCCAGAAAGAGGAGAGAGAGAGAAAGGGACAGAAAAAAUAUUCAAAGAGAUAAUAGCUGAAAACCUGCCUAACAUGGGAAAGGAACCACUCACACAAAUCCAGGAAGCACAACAAGUACCAUAUAAAAUAAAGCCAAGGAGGAACACCCCAAGAAACAUAUUAAUCAAACUGACCAAAAUAAAAGACAAAGAGAAAACACUGAAAGCAGCUAGGGAAAAGAAACAACACACAAGGGAACCCCAAUAAGGUUAUCGGCAGAUUUUUUCAGCAGAAACUCUGCAGGCCAGAAGGAAGUGACCUGAUAUACCUAACGUGAUGAAAGGAAAAAACCUCCAACCAAUAUUACUUUACCCAGUAAGGCUCUCAUUCAGAUUUGAAAGAAAAAUCAAAAGCUAAGAGAAUUGAGCCAACACUAAACCAGCUUUACGACAAAUACUAAAGGAACGUCUCUAGGCAGAAAAGAAAAGGCCACAACCAGAAGUAAAAAUACCACAAAUGACAAGGCUCACCAGUAAAGGCAUAUAUACAGUAAAGGUAGGAAAUCAUCCACACGCAAAUACACUACCCAAAUCAGAAAUCAUGAGGAGAGUACAAAUGCAGGACACUGGAGGGGCAUUUGCAAUUAAGAGACCAACAACUUAAAACAAUCUCGUAUAUAUAUAUAUAUAGACUCCUAUAUCAAAACUUCAGGGUAACUGCAAACCAAAAAUCUACAAUUUAUACACAGACAAAUAAGAAUUAUCAAUUCAAAUACAACACUAAAGAUGGUCAUCAAACCACAGGAGGA
rnacentral:lncRNA from 1 species